GUGUCACCCAGCAAGAGGUAGAUGCUGUUGGCUUGUUCUGUGUCCCCUGGAUCCUGAGGAGACGCUGAGCAGCAGGGACACGUGCCCCAAGGUGGCUCCACUACCUGACUGCAGGCUUGUUUACCAUCAACUGGCGUCUGGCACCCACAGAGCAAUGCAAUCAGCAACAGUUGCGGGGAAUCUGCUGCCAGAUGCCCCCUAGUAUGGAAAUGAGAUCCAGACUCUGGUGUGACCGGUUUGCUGCAACUUGUUACGAAUGGUGACCAAUCAGAUAGUUAGCCAAGUCAAACUUGGAGAGGCCUGUACUUCAGAGUGGUGAGUACUUUGCUGCAGCUUUACAUUUAAUAUGAAAA